rnacentral:rRNA from 1 species
AUUGAACGCUGGCGGCAUGCUUUACACAUGCCAGUCGAACGGUAACAGGUCUUCGGCUGCUGACGAGUGGCGAACGGGUGAGUAAUACAUCGGAACGUGCCUAGUAGUGGGGGAUAACUACUCGAAAGAGUAGCUAAUACCGCAUGAGAUCUACGGAUGAAAGCAGGGGACCUUCGGGCCUUGUGCUACUAGAGCGGCUGAUGGCAGAUUAGGUAGUUGGUGGGGUAAAGGCUUACCAAGCCUGCGAUCUGUAGCUGGUCUGAGAGGACGACCAGCCACACUGGGACUGAGACACGGCCCAGACUCCUACGGGAGGCAGCAGUGGGGAAUUUUGGACAAUGGGCGAAAGCCUGAUCCAGCAAUGCCGCGUGCAGGAUGAAGGCCCUCGGGUUGUAAACUGCUUUUGUACGGAACGAAAAGCCUGGGGCUAAUAUCCCCGGGUCAUGACGGUACCGUAAGAAUAAGCACCGGCUAACUACGUG